GAUGAACGCUAGCUACAGGCUUAACACAUGCAAGUCGAGGGGAAACGAUAUUGGAAGCUUGCUUCCGAUAGGCGUCGACCGGCGCACGGGUGAGUAACGCGUAUCCAACCUGCCCACCACUUGGGGAUAACCUUGCGAAAGUAAGACUAAUACCCAUUGAUAUCUCAAGAAGACAUCUGAAUGAGAUUAAAGAUUUAUCGGUGAUGGAUGGGGAUGCGUCUGAUUAGCUUGUUGGCGGGGUAACGGCCCACCAAGGCGACGAUCAGUAGGGGUUCUGAGAGGAAGGUCCCCCACAUUGGAACUGAGACACGGUCCAAACUCCUACGGGAGGCAGCAGUGAGGAAUAUUGGUCAAUGUGCGAGAGCUUGAACCAGCCAAGUAGCGUGCAGGAUGACGGCCCUAUGGGUUGUAAACUGCUUUUAUAAGGGAAUAAAGUGAGCCUCGUGAGGCUUUUUGCAUGUACCUUAUGAAUAAGGACCGGCUAUUUCCGUGCCAGCAGCCGCAGUAA
rnacentral:rRNA from 1 species